ensembl:lncRNA novel transcript, antisense to a novel protein
CAAGAACUUCUAGUGCUCUGGGCAGCUGCGAGGGGUCAAGAAACCACAUCCCCAAAUCCAGCGGGAUCUCAGAGAGAAAGGCUGAUGGGAAGCUGCCCAGGGCUGACCUGGCACAUGCUGGGAAAACCCCUCGGUGCCAGGGCAGGAGGCAGAGCGUCUGCAGCUCCUCCCUCCCCAACACAGGGGCUAAGUUCCUGUUGACGAGGCGGCCCAGCUCCCCAGGCGUGGCUGUGUUCCGGAUAUCCACAUCGUGGGGCGACACAUAAAGCUUUGUGUCAUUCAAGUCAAAGAACUCGACUUCUGUGAGACCCACCCACCACGAGUUGCCCCAGUUGGACAGGAUCUCCAUGGUCACGUAGAUGGCAUCUUUGAUCUCGUCUGCCCUCAUUCUCUGUUUGUCCUUAAAGAAGAGAAAAAUAACACCAAAGGAUUAAGUCAUGACAGGCUUGAAUUCGGCUCUGCCUCUGCCACCACUGCCUUCAAAAAGUUAGUUAACCUUCAGGGUCUCAGUCUCUCCAUCUGUACAAUGAGGAUAAGAAUAGCACCCACUACCUAUGGUUAUUACAAUGAUUAAAUGAAUUCAUACUGUAAAGCAUUCAAAAUAGAGGCCCUGUGUAACUGGCACUCUGUGAGCAUUCUGUUUGAAAGUUUACAAAUAAAUAAAAAUGUCUAAAAAGCA